rnacentral:rRNA from 1 species
GUGGGGAAUCUUGCGCAAUGGGCGAAAGCCUGACGCAGCCAUGCCGCGUGAAUGAUGAAGGUCUUAGGAUUGUAAAAUUCUUUCACCGGGGACGAUAAUGACGGUACCUGGAGAAGAAGCUCCGGCUAAAUUCGUGCCAGCAGCAGCGGUAAUACGAAGGGGGCUAGCGUUGCUCGGAAUUACUGGGCGUAAAGGGCGCGUAGGCGGACAGCUUAGUCAGAGGUGAAAGCGCAGGGCUCAACCUUGGAAUUGCCUUUGAUACUGGCUGUCUUGAGUUUGGGAGAGGUGAGUGGAACUCCGAGUGUAGAGGUGAAAUUCGUAGAUAUUCGGAAGAACACCAGUGGCGAAGGCGACUCACUGGCCCAAUACUGACGCUGAGGCGCGAAAGCGUGGGGAGCAAACAGGAUUAGAAACCCCGGUAGUCC